rnacentral:lncRNA from 1 species
UUUUAUUUCUAUUCUUGAAUUAAUGUAAACAACAUCAUUCAAUAUAGGUUUGUUUGUGUGAUUGUGUCUAGCUCCUUUUACUCAGCAUAAUUUUUUUCUUUUUUCUUUUGACAGGGCCUCACUCCCAGUUGCUCAGGCUGGAGUGCAAUGGCACGAUCUUGGCUCACUGCAGCCUCGACUUCCCAAGCUCAGGGGUUCUCCAGAGAGACGAAACAAAUAGGAUAUAUAAAGAUAUAUGAGAAGAUUUACUAUCGGAAUUGGCUCACAUGACUGUGGAAUCCAAGACAUGCUGUUUGCAAGCCGAAGAACCAGGAAAGUCAGUAGUGCAACUCAGUUUUCAUUGGAAGGCCUGAAAACCAGGGGAACCUAUGGUAUAACUGCCAGUUUGAGACUGCAAACAUUAGAAGCUUUCAUGUCUGAGGGCAGAAGAUGAAUAAUCUGGCUCCAGAAGAUAAAGAUAAUUCAACUUUCUCAGCUUUUUUGUCCUAUCCAAGCCCUCAAGGAUUUGCAUGAUGUCUGCCCGUAUUGUUGAGGGACAAUUUUAUUUUCUCAGUCCACUAAUUCUAAGGCUAAUCUCUUCCAGAAACACUCUCACAGACAUACCCAGAAAUAAUAUUUUUACUAGCUACUUGGGUAUCCCUUAACAAAGGCAAGUUGUCACAUAAAAGUAAUAAUCACAAGUCUUAGAUUUUCUUUAGAAUGUGUGAUGGUUAAUAUUGAGUGUCAACUUGAUUGGAUUGAAGGAUGCAAGGUAUUGAUUCUGGGUGUGUCUGUGAGGGUGUUUCAGAGGAGGUGAACAUUUGAGUCUGUGGACUAGGAGAGGCAGACCCACCCUUAACCUGGGUUGGCACAAUCACCUUGGCUUCCAGCACAGCUAGAAAAAAAGCAGGGAGAAGAAGGUGGAACGAGCAGAAUUUCUGAGUCCUCUGGCCUCCACCUUUCUCCCGUGCUGGAUGCUUCCUGCCCUGGAACAUCAGAUUCCAAGUUCUUCAGCUUUUGAACUCUUGGACUUACACUUGUGGUUUGCCAGGGACUCAGACCAUUGGCCACAGAUUGAAAGCUGCACUGCCGGCUUCCCUACUUUUGAGGCUUUGGGACUUAGAAUGAUCCACUACUGGCUUCCUUGCUCUUCAACUUUCAGAUGGCCUAUUAUAGGACAUUACCUUGUUAUUGUGUGAGUCAAUUCUCCUUAAUAAACUCCCUCUCAUAUAUACAUAUAUCCUGUUAGUUCUGUCCCUCUAGAUAACUCUGACUAAUAUAGACGGUUUGUCAUUCUAGUUGGUUUGGGUUCAUUUUAAAUUUGGUAAUUAUAUAUGUGUGUGCAAACUUAGACAAUAUAUAUUUUAUAUUGAAAUAUUUGGACAUUUAAGUCUAUAAAAAUUUUGGCCAUUUUCUCUACAAAUAUUUCUUCAAGCCCAUUACCAUUUACUGUCUGUGAACCUAAUUACAUAUGUAUUAAACAUUUUAUAUUAUCCCAUACAUCUCAGACCCUCUCUUUAUUUUAUUAUUAUUUUUGUGCCGCAACUUGGUUAAUUUUUAGUGACCUGUUUUCAAGUUCACCAUCCUUUUUUCUUUGCUGUUGAGGUAGAGUAAUUUAACCUAUACUAGAGGUAGUUCUGUGUUUUUUUUUCCUAUUUUUAUUCACUUAAUCACUGGCUUCAAAUUUUUUUUAACAGAAUAAGACUGUUUUUAAGGCAAGAGUUGGGGUCUGAGUACUGGUGAUACUCCCAAGACCCUCUCUCCGCUUUAUAACCCAGCUACCAUCUUUUGGGGAUGAUCAGGUGUGUUCUUGAACCUCUAGCCCACUUCUAGCUUUAUGUACCUCAGGAAGUCUCUCUUAAUCUUGUUACCCUUCUGUGGCCUUUAUUGGGUACUGAUUUCACUUGGUGAAGCUUUUGUGUGCUUAGGGGGAUUUCUCUCAGUUAUCAUGAUAUUUAUACUACCUUUCUGGGGCUCUUGCUGUGAACUCAGCAAAGUCUUUCUGUUCCUCUGGGGGAACUCUCUGGGCUGUCUUUUUCUGUCCCCAGUAACUUGCAGACUACUAUCAUGCACUCUCAGAAAGUUCCCCUGAAUUUUCAGGUAUUACUCUCAAUUUUCCAGUACUACCCUCCUGAGUAGAGUAAGAUUAUAAAGGCAAGAUUAUAAUUCUAUCAGCAAAAUCAGUGUGAGGGCAAGACAUAAUGACUUUUAAUGGAUUUUAGGUAUAUAUUUUUAAUAAGGCUUGUACUGUAUCUUGUGAAUAAAGACUGUAAGUGAAGUGGGAGCCCAACUAUAAUCUAUUUAUCCAGAAAUACACACCUCCUGAGUGAGCUGUUGCUGUCCAUUCAGAAAGGACCCCCUGCGUACCUUGAGGAGUUUCCCUUAGUUCUUUUCACCUGUUUCUACUUAAAUGAGUCACUAUUUUGUUCUUGCAAGGUAUAACUAGAUAUGCCUCAGGUUGUUUCCCUCAGCAUUUCUACCCUUCCCUAAACUGCCAGCUGCUGACUUUCAGUUCAUAAAGAUAUGUUCCUAGGUGUUAUUUCCCAGUGCAAUACCCUUGCUUCCACUUAUGAUGUACUAAUGCUCUGCACUUGGCAAAACCCCCUAAGGACAGAGUUGGCAGUGAAUUACUGUGAUUCACAUUCCUCAAAAUUGUAAUUGGUUAGGCUUAUUUUAAAGACAUGGCCCUUAAAAGUUUAUUAAAAAUUACACUGGUUAAUCCUUACCCAGUUUAUAUAGUGUUGGCUUCUCCUUGUGCCAUACUCAAAAUUGUUAGCAACUGUCGACUUCAUGACUAAAAUUUAUUUCAUUUAAGUUUCUUUGCAUCCACAGA